ACACUUUCCACUUGUAUUAGCAAAGCCCAGGUAGCCCUGCAGCAUUCACAGGGUGGAAGCGGAGGGCUGGCAUGUUCCUUUCACCGUUUGGAGGAAAUUUUGGAGCUAAACGGUUGGACCUCCCCCCAUGAAAAGAGAGAGAACCACAAUAAGGAAGGCGAAGAGGAGGGUUCUCUGGGUUCCCAUGAGAUGGGAAUGUUUCCACUUCUUCUCCGUGUUAUCUGCGGAAGGCAGUAAGAUGCUCCGGAGAAUGUUUGUGGAAAGGACAGAUGAAUGGAAAAUCAGCUGAAGGAAAAUGGCGGAAAGGAACCAGUAAGAUACCAAUGCAGGAAUUGUCCUAAACAGCUGCUGCAGGAUUGUGAAGAGCCUGGAAUCAUGCAUUUUGGAUGCAGUUUUAAAGUGGGUCCUUCUACGUAAGACCUGACUAGUCCUGUACUGAGAAGAGACAUAUUGCUGUUGUGGGGAAACAUUUAAAAGCAGGUCAUGGGGGAAAAACAAGCACAAAAACAGGACGGCUCCUGUGCAUUUAUGUCUUGUCCUUCCCACCCACCCAGUUCUUGGGACAUGUGUAACUUCCAUGCCAAAAGGGGGUGGAAAAAGAGUUCUGAAAGUCCACGUGUCUGCAUUUGGGCCAAACAACUGAAGAUUUUGAACUUUCACUCUAUUCUGCGUUCUCAGCACUGGAUGGAAGAAUGGAGAAACGGAGCGUGGGGCUGUAGUGAAGUCUUCCAGCCUGAGCACUAUUGACAUUCUGAGAUGGACAGUUCAUUGUUGUUGUUCUCUGCACUGCCAGAGGUGUAGUGGCAUCCCUGGGCCCUACCCACUUGAUGUCAGGAGCAACCCUUUCCCCAGUGGUGACGUGUGGGGGGGGGGCGGUCCUUGGAUCGCAGGUCUCCACCAACAUCACACAUUUGGUUAUGGGGAACCCAAAAGCAGAAACGUUUCCCAGCUUCUAACUGGUGCAAGUAAAGAGCACGUUGGUAGGCAAAGUAAUAAUUUAGCAGCUCCCAGCAUUUCUUCUACAGCUCCCGGUCUCUUAGAUACCAUAGCAUCCUCUUUGAGAGGUCCAGGUACACUUUUCAUCCAUAAUACAUUCUGUCUACGGGCUCAUAAGCGAUUGCCAGAAUUCGGUUAACGAUGCUGGAAUUUACUCUCUGGAAAUUUGGAUAGCUUUUUAAAGGGACCCAGCAUCUCCCAAUUAGUUAUACCCCGGGGCCUGUCCCUCAUUAUUUAGGACUCUCAUAAAGGUGUCCCAUGGGAGCCUUCGUCAGUUCAGUGAGGGGCCGUGACAUUCCUGAAGGGUGUGAGUUCGAGUGCUGCAGGCAUUUGCCCUAAUGAGCUCUUGGGCCCAGUGCUCACAGUUACCUGCAGCAGCAAAUAGUAAAGCUUGGUCAUUCGUGUAGGAAUUAGGCUUUCCUCGUGGCGAAAACUGUGUUGAAAGGGAUCUUAAGUCAGAAAUGAGGAACAUAAUAUUCACAUCGGGUUUGCAUUGGCUUUGCUCGUGAAUCUUUCUCCUGCCUUGGACAUAUGAGAUAAUCAGUAUUGUCUGACUUGUGUUCUUUUUGAAGACCUGAGUAAAUGAAAGACACCAAUGGUCUUGGGUAAUCUCUUAUAUAUAUAUAUUCCCUUCAUCAGCUGUCCAAACAGAGAGGAUGUUUCGGUUUUAGGAUUCAUUGUCCUGUGUCCAAAUGCUAGGUGUUCCCCCCACCCUCUCUGUGUAGUGUUCGAUAUCCUCGUUCGCUUCUCUGUGCCUCAGUUUUCCAAACUGUAAAUGUGGGAUGAGUAGUUAACAUAAGUCUGUUGUGAAAAUUGAGUAUCUUACACACACAACCCCAAACCCCUGUUAACACUCGCUAUUGUUUCUAUCAGGGGUUUCUUUUCCUGAUCUCAACAAUCCUCCCAAAUGCCCUAUGAGGGAGGCCCAGAAGGCUUGUGCAACCAACCCAAGGCGAUAAGCCAAUAACGACAGAGCGGUCCUAACCCAAGUCUUCCAUUAUUUCAGAGGUAGAGAUACAGGAAGCGACUCGGUCAGAAAGACAAGGAGCAGGAACCCUGACCUAGGAAUCUAACCACGUAUUAUUGAUCCAUUAGUGGUAAUAAAUAAAGCCCUGUAUGAAAUAUGAGGACAAAGUGAAAUCUCUCGUUGGUAAUAUUGGAAGAAUAGAUGUAGAGGCAGAUAAUGCCACUCAGAAGCAAGUAGUAAAGGAGUCCAUCAAAAAGCUGACAUUUUA